ACCUCUGAGCGGUGGAUCACUCGGCUUGCCAGUCGAUGAAGAGCGCAGCUAGCUGCGUUACUUAAUGUGAAUUGCAGGACACAUUGAACAUCGACAUCUUGAACGCACAUGGCGGUCCCGGGUUUCUCCCGGGACCACGUCUGCUUCAGCGUCU
rnacentral:rRNA from 2 species